GUCACACACACACACACACACACAAGGACAGGCAGUCACACAGACAGUCACACACACACACACACACACACAGACAGUCACACGCACACAGGCAGGCAGUCACAGAGACAGACAGUCACACACACACACAGACAGACAGUCACACAAACAGGCAAACAGUCACACACACACACUUACCUCUUUCCAGUGGAUGCAGUUGGCUGAUGGGGAAGCAUCUUUCCCUCUUCCUGUACAGCAGGGGCUUCGGGAGGUAUUAGCCCCGUCUCCGCCUCUCGAUAAGCCCCGCCUCUGCCGCUCGGUAAACCCCGCCCCCUCUGCCGCGA